rnacentral:rRNA from 1 species
AGAGUUUGAUCCUGGCUCAGAGUGAACGCUGGCGGCAGGCCUAACACAUGCAAGUCGAACGGCAGCACAGCAGUAGCAAUACUGUGGGUGGCGAGUGGCGGACGGGUGAGGAAUGCGUCGGAAUCUGCCUUUUUGUGGGGGAUAACGUAGGGAAACUUACGCUAAUACCGCAUACGACCUACGGGUGAAAGUGGGGGACCUUCGGGCCUCACGCAGAAAGAUGAGCCGACGCCGGAUUAGCUAGUUGGCGGGGUAAAGGCCCACCAAGGCGACGAUCCGCAGCUGGUCUGAGAGGAUGAUCAGCCACACUGGGACUGAGACACGGCCCAGACUCCUACGGGAGGCAGCAGUGGGGAAUAUUGGACGAAUGGGCGCAAGCCUGAUCCAGCCAUGCCGCGUGUGUGAAGAAGGCCUUCGGGUUGUAAAGCACUUUUGUCCGGAAAGAAAAGCUUCGGGUUAAUAACCUGGAGUCAUGACGGUACCGAAG